rnacentral:rRNA from 1 species
GGAGUUAGCCGGUGCUUCUUCUGCGAGUAACGUCACAGAUGUAAGGUAUUAACUUACACCCUUUCCUCCUCGCUGAAAGUGCUUUACAACCCGAAGGCCUUCUUCACACACGCGGCAUGGCUGCAUCAGGGUUUCCCCCAUUGUGCAAUAUUCCCCACUGCUGCCUCCCGUAGGAGUCUGGGCCGUGUCUCAGUCCCAGUGUGGCUGAUCAUCCUCUCAGACCAGCUAGGGAUCGUCGCCUAGGUGAGCCUUUACCUCACCUACUAGCUAAUCCCACCUGGGCUUAUCCAUCAGCGCAAGGCCCGAAGGUCCCCUGCUUUCCCCCGUAGGGCGUAUGCGGUAUUAGCAGUCGUUUCCAACUGUUAUCCCCCACAAAUGGGCAAAUUCCCAGGCAUUACUCACCCGUCCGCCGCUCGUCAUCUCAAGACAGCUUUAGUAAUAGUUACCGCUCGACUUGCAUGUGUUAGGUCCGUCGCCGCCACGCGUUACAAUCUGAGCCAUAAUACAACUACUGA